AGUUGCGAUCUACGUCGGCGUCCGCGCCGCCGAUAACCGUAGUAAUUCGUAGGGCUAAUACGUGCGAAGCGCCGAAGCCGCGAGGCGACGGCGUUCUCGCCGGAUGUAGGAACCGACCCGGGGACCGCCGGGGCAACCCGGCGCCCCCGAGACGGGGCGAACCACGGUGAAAUGACGGAUCGUCGGCCCCGCGCCGGCGACUCGCCGAAUGAGUUUCUGACCUAUCAACUCGAGACGGCGGGGUAGAGGCCCGCCGCGGUAACGACGGGUAACGGGGAAUCAGGGUUCGAUUCCGGAGAGGGAGCCCGAGAAACGGCUACCACUUCCAAGGAAGGCAGCAGGCGCGCAACUUACCCUAAUCUCGAUUCGAGGAGGUAGUGACAAGAAAUACCGAUGCGGGACCCUACGGGUGCCGCGUUCGGAAUGAGUACGAUUCGAACCACA
rnacentral:rRNA from 1 species